UGGCUCAGUGGUAGAGUGCUUGUCUUGCAUACAUGAGGUCCUGGGUUCGAUUCCUCAG
rnacentral:tRNA from 1 species